rnacentral:lncRNA from 1 species
CUCGGAUUCUGUAUACACGGGAGAAGACCCUUUUGUGUUUUCCCGACACUUACUUCGGAGACCGCCCCUCUAAGCAGAGGGCCAUGUCGCCUGCUGCGUGUUGCUGGGCUGGUCGUCCUUACAGGAUUUUCCCUUGUUCUCAGCAUCUAGACCCGUAACGCCCACUUCAGAAUGGGAGGGAGGAUGUCUGCUGCCCUGUCGUCUCCACACCCGAGGAAUGUCCGUGUGUGUGUGUGUGUGGUGUGCACAGCGGGCUGCACACAGCGGGCUCCACGGUGCUCGAAUGGAGGCCCUAAUGUGAAUGGAGACUAGCCUGCUGGUAGAGACCUUGGCAGUGACCGCUGUGGGCAAUGAGCCAUGGGCCAACAAUAUUCAAUGCUGUGUACCUGAUGGAUGGUUACUGUCUGAGACUGAGGCUUUUUGGGCCAGGAGUAAAAGGACUUGGUUUGUACUUGAUUGCGUCCUGUGGAUGCUUGCCUACCAACUGACUCAUCCUGACGUGCCAAAGGUCCUGGCUUUCCCCUGUGUGGAGCAUCACUAUCAAACAGUUCACUGUGGACUCCUCGUAGCAGAAGUACAGUAGGGGACAGCAAGUGUCAGCUCCAUCAGGACCCCUGAUUUAAUUAUUUACUGUGGAACCAUUGUCCUGAGUCAGGAGGAUAGAUGAGGAAAGAAUGAGAGCGUGGCUGGCAUCGCUUCAUGAUUACAUUCUGGGAAAGAUCUUGCCUGUUAACCUCUAGAGAAGGAGGGACGAUACAGACAACCACUGGUGGAAGUUGUUGUUAAACAGUGGGUCUUGCAUGCAAGCUCUACAGUUAUGCACAGUAUUUCCAUGACAUCCCAAGCCAUGAGGUUCAUGCUGCCAUAUCCCCCUGUUUAACAAGUGUGGAAACUGAUUUGUAGGAACAAACCAUCCCAUAUGCAACCAGACAGCUCCAUUCUGUUUUCACCGGCCCUGUGAGAUCUACACACUCAGUUCUGGGUGAGAAGACACAGAAUGGACUCACAAUUGCUGAUGUAUAGGUUCUAAUGUUUUCUAUUGUGGACACGGGACACCCAGACUGAGAACCAAUGGCUCCAGUCUGAUUUAAACAUGGGUCCGUGCUCACACACUCAAUACCUACCCUCUGUGCUCACAAGUCCUGUGUGAGUAAGACUCCAAAUUAUUCUGUCUUGUUUUACUCAAUGGUAUGCUCUACCUUAUUAUAGAGUAUACCAUGUAUUGAGACAAGAAUGCCAGUCAUUCUGAGAAACAAAAUGCAACCAUUAGUUGUCAUUUUAAUUAGUGACGAAUAGUUGUGUCAAUCAUCAAACAUGCUUGUAUAAUUGGAUGAGAAGAGGUGUAACACGGGCCAAUGAUGACGAGGUUUCGGGAUUAUAAGUCACGGACGAUGACUACGUCACUAGAGGUCUGAGGUCCAUAGCAGAAGAUGCCUCAUGUGACCCUCUCAUGCAGGGGUUGCAUGUCAGGCAUGUGCAUACAGUAGAUAUUAGCCAUGCACUCU